GACGAACGCUGGCGGCGUGCUUAACACAUGCAAGUCGAACGGAAAGUCCCUGCUUUUGUGGGGUGCUCGAGUGGCGAACGGGUGAGUAACACGUGAGUAACCUGCCCUUGACUUUGGGAUAACUUCAGGAAACUGGGGCUAAUACCGGAUAGGAGCUCCUGCUGCAUGGUGGGGUUUGGAAAGUUUCGGCGGUUGGGGAUGGACUCGCGGCUUAUCAGCUUGUUGGUGGGGUAGUGGCUUACCAAGGCUUUGACGGGUAGCCGGCCUGAGAGGGUGACCGGCCACAUUGGGACUGAGAUACGGCCCAGACUCAUACGGGAGGAAGGAGGGGGGAAUAUUGCACAAUGGGCGGAAGCCUGAUGCAGCAACGCCGCGUGCGGGAUGAAGGAAUUCGGGUUGUAAACCGAUUUCGCCUGUGACGAAGCGUGAGUGACGGUAAUGGGUAAAGAAGCACCGGCUAACUACGUG
rnacentral:rRNA from 1 species